GAGGAAAGCUGGCGGCCUUCCUCAUACAUUCACUUCGACCGAACUGACGAGAAGCUUGCUUCUCUUAUGUUAGCGGCGGACGGGUGAGUAACACGUGUAUAACCUACCUAUAAGACUGGGAUAACUUCGGGAAACCGUAGCUCAUACCGUAUAAUAUUUUGAACCGCAUGGUUCAAAAGUUAAAGACGGUCUUGCUUUCACUUAUAGAUGGAUCCGCGCUGCAUUAGAUAGUUGGUAAGGUACCGGAUUACCCCAUCCACGAUGAAUAGCCGACCUGAGAGGGACAUAGGCCACGAUGAAAAUGAGCAACACUCCAGACUCAUACGGGAGGCAGCAGUGGGGAAUCUUCCGCAAUGGGCGCAAGCCUGGAGGAGCAACGCCGCGUGAGUGAUGAAGGCCUUCGGAUUGUAAAAAGAUGGGAUUAGGGAAGAACAUAUGUGUAAGUAACUGUGCAAAUCUUGAAGGUACCAACUGAGAAAGCAAAGGGUAAAAACGGG
rnacentral:rRNA from 1 species